GCUCUCCCCCUCACCCUCACCUAGCAGGCGUCGAGUUCUUGGUUCAUCCCAUCCCCGCAAGCCCAGCAACACAAGUGCUUGUGUAUGAUGGCGCGUCUUGGGACACGGUCGAACGGGGCCGCGAUGGGCAGCAGCUCGAGCGCGGUCCCAAGUGCGAACACUUCGGCGCCCCAUCCCACGGUGGUCGGAGAUGAGAAUGCGAGCGGCGAAUCUGAUGCAGACUGCGGCAAGGUCCGGGUUAUGAACUAUCUAUCCCCUAAGGUAGUCAAUGUUGUCGUUGCUUGUCUCACUGAUUCACAAAAUAGGCUUUUCGCCGAGAAGGACUUUGGAGCCAUGCUGUCCUUCCAGCGCUACUAAAUGUAGACCGUCAGUACAGUUUCUGGAACACAACUAGGAUAGAUCCGAUUAGGAGAACCGUUAGUAUGGGCGAUGGCAGUUCCCGGCCUGUGACCGCUAAUGCUAUAAGGGAUGUGGUCGGUCUGGGUACGGGCGACAGGGAGAUCCCCUUCCCGCAUGAGCCUAGCUAUGUUGAUCGUGAUGUAUUGAGGGAUGUGUGUGCCGGUCUGGGUCUGGAUGCAUCGGUAGAUAGGAUAACAUUGAGAAUGCUAGAGUCGGUGCUUGCUUCCCCAGGCGAUCUAAGUGUUGAAUCUGAGGCCAACAGGCAGUGUGCUGCGUUCGCUCUUCUCUGUACUGCUUGUUUGUUCAACCCUAAAGCAAACCGGAGGGAGGAUCCAAUAAGCUCUGAGGUCUUUGUUGCUGUGCGUGAUCCAUCAAAGAUGUUUGAGUUUUACUGGUGUGGGUACAUAAAAGCUGUAAUAAUGGCUGGUGUGAGCAAAAUGCGAGAAGAUCUGGAAGUCGGUGCAACUAUGGUCCACUUGCAAGGGUUCCUAAUGGUGCCUCAGGUACCCAAACCAUGCUGAUUUGGUUCCUUUCUUUCAUAAACUAUGGUGUGUCAUGGGCGUUGUUGGGUUUUUAUUUAACCAACUCUGCUAGUUCUGAUAUAUUGCUUUGUCUCAUAAAUUGUCCCACGUGAUUGCAUUUGAUGCGAUGGUUGUUGGUCGGGGGUUGCAACCUGGGCGACACCGGAUGACUGUGUAUGAUGCUGAGGACUUCCGCUUGCUUGCUGCUCUUGACUCUGAUCGUACAAGCAUUGGAGGGCACAGGUUAUACGGCAAAUCUAAGGAUAACACAGGUAGAAGUCCCUCAUUGAUUCGGUUUUCCUACCAGAGAUGACCCCUAA